rnacentral:misc_RNA from 1 species
UCCUCGUUUAGACGAGGCAGUCUGUCCAGAGUGCUUCGAACUCUCGUUCGAGUGGCAACAGGACACAAGGGUUGCGCUCGUUGCGGGACUUAACCCAACAUCUCACGACACGAGCUGACGACAGCCAUGCAGCACCUGUGUUGCGGUUCCCUUUCGGGCACCGAGGUAUCUCUACCCCCUUCCGCACAUGUCAAGCCCAGGUAAGGUUCUUCGCGUUGCAUCGAAUUAAGCCACAUGCUCCGCCGCUUGUGCGGGUCCCCGUCAAUUCCUUUGAGUUUUAGCCUUGCGGCCGUACUUCCCAGGCGGGGCACUUAAUGCGUUAGCUACGGCACGGAGCCCGUCGAUCGAGCCCCACACCUAGUGCCCAACGUUUACGGCGUGGACUAC